rnacentral:lncRNA from 1 species
CACCUUUAUUUCUAUAUCAUUCAUAUAUUCAAUUUGUAUAGCUUUAAUUUCUUAAAUCUAUUUUUUUUUUCUCUCUCUCUUCUUAUUAUUAACAUUCUAAAUUCUUUUUAUAUUAUCAUAAUUCUUUAAUGUAUCAAUAUGGUUACUCCUCGCUGUCGUUUUUCUUCAGGUGCAACAAUUUAGUAAAAAUAAGUACAUGAUAUCAAACAUGUUGUUUUAAAAAUGAGUUAUAAAAUUUAUUAUUUUAAAUAGCUGACUAGAGACCAUUUAAUUUAAUGUGAGACCUCUAAAUCAAUGCUGGAGCUUAUCACCUAGAAUAUUAAAACUUUUUUCAUAAUUUAUUUUUUUCUUAUUUUUGUGAGUUUUAAAGCAUUCUAAAAAUAGUCAUACUGUUGAUCUGAGUUAACUAUUUGAAACAUCAUUCCAGUCAGCUAAGAGAUAUUUUUGAAAAAAUAAUUCUGUUUUGUCAUUAUGUUUGUGUAAUAUGUGUGUCUGUUGUUGUUUGUAU